rnacentral:rRNA from 1 species
GGUUAAGCGACUAAGCGUACACGGUGGAUGCCCUGGCAGUCAGAGGCGAUGAAGGACGUGCUAAUCUGCGAAAAGCGUCGGUAAGGUGAUAUGAACCGUUAUAACCGGCGAUGUCCGAAUGGGGAAACCCAGUGCAAUUCGUUGCACUAUCGUUAACUGAAUACAUAGGUUAACGAGGCGAACCGGGGGAACUGAAACAUCUAAGUACCCCGAGGAAAAGAAAUCAACCGAGAUUCCCCCAGUAGCGGCGAGCGAACGGGGAGCAGCCCAGAGUCUGAAUCAGCUUGUGUGUUAGUGGAACGGUCUGGAAAGUCCGACGGUACAGGGUGAUAGUCCCGUACACCAAAAUGCACAGGUUGUGAACUCGAAGAGUAGGGCGGGACACGUGGUAUCCUGUCUGAAUAUGGGGGGACCAUCCUCCAAGGCUAAAUACUCCUGACUGACCGAUAGUGAACCAGUACCGUGAGGGAAAGGCGAAAAGAACCCCGGCGAGGGGAGUGAAAAAGAACCUGAAACCGUGUACGUACAAGCAGUGGGAGCACCUUCGGGUGUGACUGCGUACCUUUUGUAUAAUGGGUCAGCGACUUAUAUUCUGUAGCAAGGUUAACCGUAUAGGGGAGCCGCAGGGAAACCGAGUCUUAACUGGGCGUUAAGUUGCAGGGUAUAGACCCGAAACCCGGUGAUCUAGCCAUGGGCAGGUUGAAGGUUGGGUAACACUAACUGGAGGACCGAACCGACUAAUGUUGAAAAAUUAGCGGAUGACUUGUGGCUGGGGGUGAAAGGCCAAUCAAACCGGGAGAUAGCUGGUUCUCCCCGAAAGCUAUUUAGGUAGCGCCUCGUGAAUUCAUCUUCGGGGGUAGAGCACUGUUUCGGCUAGGGGGUCAUCCCGACUUACCAACCCGAUGCAAACUACGAAUACCGAAGAAUGUUAUCACGGGAGACACACGGCGGGUGCUAACGUCCGUCGUGAAGAGGGAAACAACCCAGACCGCCAGCUAAGGUCCCAAAGUCAUGGUUAAGUGGGAAACGAUGUGGGAAGGCACAGACAGCCAGGAUGUUGGCUUAGAAGCAGCCAUCAUUUAAAGAAAGCGUAAUAGCUCACUGGUCGAGUCGGCCUGCGCGGAAGAUGUAACGGGGCUAAACCAUGCACCGAAGCUGCGGCAGCGACACUAUGUGUUGUUGGGUAGGGGAGCGUUCUGUAAGCCUGCGAAGGUGUGCUGUGAGGCAUGCUGGAGGUAUCAGAAGUGCGAAUGCUGACAUAAGUAACGAUAAAGCGGGUGAAAAGCCCGCUCGCCGGAAGACCAAGGGUUCCUGUCCAACGUUAAUCGGGGCAGGGUGAGUCGACCCCUAAGGCGAGGCCGAAAGGCGUAGUCGAUGGGAAACAGGUUAAUAUUCCUGUACUUGGUGUUACUGCGAAGGGGGGACGGAGAAGGCUAUGUUAGCCGGGCGACGGUUGUCCCGGUUUAAGCAUGUAGGCUGAUUGUCCAGGCAAAUCCGGAUAAUCAAGGCUGAGGUGUGAUGACGAGGCACUACGGUGCUGAAGUAACAAAUGCCCUGCUUCCAGGAAAAGCCUCUAAGCAUCAGGUAACAUCAAAUCGUACCCCAAACCGACACAGGUGGUCAGGUAGAGAAUACCAAGGCGCUUGAGAGAACUCGGGUGAAGGAACUAGGCAAAAUGGUGCCGUAACUUCGGGAGAAGGCACGCUGGUGUGUAGGUGAAGCCCCUGCGGGUGGAGCUGAGACCAGUCGAAGAUACCAGCUGGCUGCAACUGUUUAUUAAAAACACAGCACUGUGCAAACACGAAAGUGGACGUAUACGGUGUGACGCCUGCCCGGUGCCGGAAGGUUAAUUGAUGGGGUUAUCCGUAAGGAGAAGCUCUUGAUCGAAGCCCCGGUAAACGGCGGCCGUAACUAUAACGGUCCUAAGGUAGCGAAAUUCCUUGUCGGGUAAGUUCCGACCUGCACGAAUGGCGUAAUGAUGGCCAGGCUGUCUCCACCCGAGACUCAGUGAAAUUGAACUCGCUGUGAAGAUGCAGUGUACCCGCGGCAAGACGGAAAGACCCCGUGAACCUUUACUAUAGCUUGACACUGAACAUUGAGCCUUGAUGUGUAGGAUAGGUGGGAGGCUUUGAAGCGUGGACGCCAGUCUGCGUGGAGCCAACCUUGAAAUACCACCCUUUAAUGUUUGAUGUUCUAACGUUGGCCCCUGACCGGGGUUGCGGACAGUGUCUGGUGGGUAGUUUGACUGGGGCGGUCUCCUCCCAAAGCGUAACGGAGGAGCACGAAGGUUAGCUAAUCCUGGUCGGACAUCAGGAGGUUAGUGCAAUGGCAUAAGCUAGCUUGACUGCGAGCGUGACGGCGCGAGCAGGUGCGAAAGCAGGUCAUAGUGAUCCGGUGGUUCUGAAUGGAAGGGCCAUCGCUCAACGGAUAAAAGGUACUCCGGGGAUAACAGGCUGAUACCGCCCAAGAGUUCAUAUCGACGGCGGUGUUUGGCACCUCGAUGUCGGCUCAUCACAUCCUGGGGCUGAAGUAGGUCCCAAGGGUAUGGCUGUUCGCCAUUUAAAGUGGUACGCGAGCUGGGUUUAGAACGUCGUGAGACAGUUCGGUCCCUAUCUGCCGUGGGCGCUGGAGAAUUGAGGGGGGCUGCUCCUAGUACGAGAGGACCGGAGUGGACGCAUCACUGGUGUUCGGGUUGUCAUGCCAAUGGCACUGCCCGGUAGCUAAAUGCGGAAGAGAUAAGUGCUGAAAGCAUCUAAGCACGAAACUUGCCCCGAGAUGAGUUCUCCCUGAGACUUUAAGUCUCCUGAAGGAACGUUGAAGACGACGACGUUGAUAGGCCGGGUGUGUAAGCGCAGCGAUGCGUUGAGCUAACCGGUACUAAUGAACCGUGAGGCUUAACCUU